rnacentral:lncRNA from 1 species
GGUCUGCAGAGCUGCUCCAAGAAACAGCCUGGCCAACUGCUGAGGAAAAGCUGUACUUCAACAGAGCAAUAAGGAUGUCCGGAGUGGGGUUUUAAAGAGGUGCUCUGUCCUUCAGAUUGUUAAUAUGCUGAAUUCAGAAGAGGGCUACAAAAGCAUCUAGAUCUCAAGAAAAAAUCUGUCUUAUGAAGAGACUGGGCAACUAUCAGCUCGAUGCUGUGGCCAUUACCCUGGGACCUGCAGGCAGCCAGCACCCAGUUUGACCAGCAGACAGACCAGAAGGGCUGACAGAAGUACAAAGCAGAGCAGUGACUACCUGCCAAGAAAUGCAGCCACCCCACUAUUCAAUAACCCUGAGCACUGAAAAAGAAGU